rfam:Lactobacillus ruminis ATCC 27782, complete genome.
GCGCUCGUAGCUCAGCAGGAUAGAGCAACCGCCUCCUAAGCGGUAGGUCAUCGGUUCGAUUCCGAUCGAGCGCA